GGAAUCGCUAGUAAUCGCAAAUCAGCAUGUUGCGGUGAAUCCGUUCCCGGGUCUUGUACACACCGCCCGUCACACCAUGGGAGUUGGAAACGCCCGAAGUCAGUGGCCGAACCGAAAGGGAGGAGCUGCCGAAGGCGGGUCGAAUAACUGGGGUGAAGUCGUAACAAGGUAAC
rnacentral:rRNA from 1 species